UACGUAGGGCGCAAGCGUUGUCCGGAAUUACUGGGCGUAAAGCGUGCGUAGGUGGUUUGUUAAGUCUGUUGUGAAAGCCCCGGGCUCAACCUGGGAAUGGCAAUGGAUACUGGCAAGCUAGAGUGCGGUAGAGGGUAGUGGAAUUCCCGGUGUAGCAGUGAAAUGCGUAGAGAUCGGGAGGAACAUCCGUGGCGAAGGCGACUACCUGGACCAGCACUGACACUGAGGCACGAAAGCGUGGGGAGCAAACAGG
rnacentral:rRNA from 1 species